rnacentral:rRNA from 1 species
GAUGAACGCUGGCGGCGUGCCUAAUACAUGCAAGUCGAGCGAACAGACGAGGAGCUUGCUCCCCUGACGUUAGCGGCGGACGGGUGAGUAACACGUGGAUAACCUACCUAUAAGACUGGGAUAACUUCGGGAAACCGGAGCUAAUACCGGAUAAUAUAUUGAACCGCAUGGUUCAAUAGUGAAAGACGGUUUUGCUGUCACUUAUAGAUGGAUCCGCGCCGCAUUAGCUAGUUGGUAAGGUAACGGCUUACCAAGGCAACGAUGCGUAGCCGACCUGAGAGGGUGAUCGGCCACACUGGAACUGAGACACGGUCCAGACUCCUACGGGAGGCAGCAGUCGGGAAUCUUCCGCAAUGGGCGAAAGCCUGACGGAGCAACGCCGCGUGAGUGAUGAAGGUCUUCGGAUCGUAAAACUCUGUUAUUAGGGAAGAACAAAUGUGUAAGUAACUAUGCACGUCUUGACGGUACCUAAUCAGAAAGCCACGGCUAACUACGUG